rnacentral:rRNA from 1 species
CCUGAUCCAGCAAUGCCGCGUGUGUGAAGAAGGCCUUCGGGUUGUAAAGCACUUUUAUCAGGAGCGAAAUACUGCCGGCUAAUACCCGGCGGGGCUGACGGUACCUGAGGAAUAAGCACCGGCUAACUUCGUGCCAGCAGCCGCGGUAAUACGAAGGGUGCAAGCGUUAAUCGGAAUUACUGGGCGUAAAGCGUGCGUAGGCGGUUCUUUAAGUCUGCUGUGAAAUCCCCGGGCUCAACCUGGGAAUGGCAGUGGAUACUGGAGAGCUAGAGUGUGAUAGAGGAUGGUGGAAUUCCCGGUGUAGCGGUGAAAUGCGUAGAGAUCGGGAGGAACAUCAGUGGCGAAGGCGGCCAUCUGGAUCAACACUGACGCUGAGGCACGAAAGCGUGGGGAGCAAACAGGAUUAGAUACCCUGGUAGUCCACGCCCUAAACGAUGCGAACUGGAUGUUGGUCUCAACUCGGAGAUCAGUGUCGAAGCUAACGCGUUAAGUUCGCCGCCUGGGGAGUACGGUCGCAAGACUGAAACUCAAAGGAAUUGACGGGGGCCCGCACAAGCGGUGGAGUAUGUGGUUUAAUUCGAUGCAACGCGAAGAACCUUACCUGGCCUUGACAUGUCUGGAAUCCUGCA